UACAGAGGUCCCAAGCGUUGUUCGGAUUCACUGGGCGUAAAGGGUGCGUAGGUGGCGAGGUAAGUCGGAUGUGAAAGCUCGGAGCUCAACUCCGAAAUGGCAUUGGAAACUACCUUGCUCGAGGGUUGGAGGGGGGACUGGAAUUCUCGGUGUAGCAGUGAAAUGCGUAGAUAUCGAGAGGAACACCAGUGGCGAAGGCGGGUCUCUGGGCAGUGAACUGACGCUGAGGAGCGAAAGCGUGGGGAGCGAACAGG
rnacentral:rRNA from 1 species